GUUUGGGCUGACCUUGAACUUACUAUGUAGCCCACAGUAGCUCCUAAAACUGACUGCAAAUUAUUGGAAAUGCCUCAUAGAAUUCACUCUGUGGUUUUGCUUUCUCAUAGGUCUUUUUCUUAGGCCUAUGAGAAGGCACUACAACAGAGCA
rnacentral:snoRNA from 1 species